GACGAACGCUGGCGGCGCGCUUAACACAUGCAAGUCGAACGAGAGAAGAGAAGCUUGCUUUUCUGAUCUAGUGGCGGACGGGUGAGUAACACGUGAGCAAUCUGCCUUUCAGAGGGGGAUACCGAUUGGAAACGAUCGUUAAUACCGCAUAACAUAAUUGAACCGCAUGAUUUGAUUAUCAAAGAUUUAUCGCUGAAAGAUGAGCUCGCGUCUGAUUAGCUAGUUGGUAAGGUAACGGCUUACCAAGGCGACGAUCAGUAGCCGGACUGAGAGGUUGAUCGGCCACAUUGGGACUGAGACACGGCCCAGACUCCUACGGGAGGCAGCAGUGGGGAAUAUUGCACAAUGGAGGAAACUCUGAUGCAGCGAUGCCGCGUGAGGGAAGAAGGUUUUAGGAUUGUAAACCUCUGUCUUCAGGGACGAAAAAAGACGGUACCUGAGGAGGAAGCUCCGGCUAACUACGUGCCAGCAGCCGCGGUAAUACGUAGGGAGCGAGCGUUGUCCGGAAUUACUGGGUGUAAAGGGAGCGUAGGCGGGAUCGCAAGUCAGAUGUGAAAACUAUGGGCUUAACCCAUAAACUGCAUUUGAAACUGUGGUUCUUGAGUGAAGUAGAGGUAAGCGGAAUUCCUAGUGUAGCGGUGAAAUGCGUAGAUAUUAGGAGGAACAUCAGUGGCGAAGGCGGCUUACUGGGCUUUAACUGACGCUGAGGCUCGAAAGCGUGGGGAGCAAACAGGAUUAGAUACCCUGGUAGUCCACGCCGUAAACGAUGAUUACUAGGUGUGGGGGGACUGACCCCUUCCGUGCCGCAGCAAACGCAAUAAGUAAUCCACCUGGGGAGUACGACCGCAAGGUUGAAACUCAAAGGAAUUGACGGGGGCCCGCACAAGCAGUGGAGUAUGUGGAUUAAUUCGAAGCAACGCGAAGAACCUUACCAGGUCUUGACAUCGUAUGCAUAGCUCAGAGAUGAGUGAAAUCUCUUCGGAGACAUAUAGACAGGUGGUGCAUGGUUGUCGUCAGCUCGUGUCGUGAGAUGUUGGGUUAAGUCCCGCAACGAGCGCAACCCUUACUGUUAGUUGCUACGCAAGAGCACUCUAGCAGGACUGCCGUUGACAAAACGGAGGAAGGUGGGGAUGACGUCAAAUCAUCAUGCCCCUUAUGACCUGGGCCUCACACGUACUACAAUGGCUGUCAACAGAGGGAUGCAAAGCCGCGAGGUGGAGCGAACCCCUAAAAGCAGUCUUAGUUCGGAUUGUAGGCUGCAACCCGCCUACAUGAAGUCGGAAUUGCUAGUAAUCGCAGAUCAGCAUGCUGCGGUGAAUACGUUCCCGGGCCU
rnacentral:rRNA from 1 species